AGUGAACGCUGGCGGCGUGCCUAAUACAUGCAAGUCGAACGGAGUGGCGCACGGGUGAGUAAUAUAUAGCAAAUCUGCCCCUUGCUGGCGGUCACCAGUUAGAAAUGACUGGUAACACUCCAUAUCAAGGGAUGGGGCUAUAUCGUAUCAGCUAGACGGUGGGGUAACGGCCUACCGAGGCUAUGACCCGUAACUGGUCUGAGGGGAUGAUCAGCAACAUUGGAACUGAGACACGAGCCGAGAUCCUUCGGGAAUGAGCGGAAGGGAGACUUGCCCAAGCGGCGAGACUGUAGCACGGCAUCGCCUCGUAGAGGAUGACACUUUUCGAAGCAUAAACUCCUUUUGAUAGGGAAGCGGUACCUAACGAAUAAGCACCGGCUAACUCCGUGCCAGCAGCCGCGGUAAUAC
rnacentral:rRNA from 1 species